GAGGUGGGAGGAUCACUUGAGCCCAGGAGGUCAAGGCUGCAGUGAGCUGUGAUCAUGCCACUGCACUCCAGCCUGAGUGACAGAGUGAGACCCUGUCUCA
ensembl:miRNA